rnacentral:rRNA from 1 species
UAGGGAAUAUUGGACAAUGGGGGCAACCCUGAUCCAGCCAUGCCGCGUGAGUGAAGAAGGCCCUCGGGUUGUAAAGCUCUUUUGUCCGGAAAGAAAAGCAUUCGGUGAAUACCCGGAUGUUCUGACGGUACCGGAAGAAUAAGCACCGGCUAACUUCGUGCCAGCAGCCGCGGUAAUACGAAGGGUGCAAGCGUUACUCGGAAUUACUGGGCGUAAAGCGUGCGUAGGUGGUUGUUUAAGUCUGAUGUGAAAGCCCUGGGCUCAACCUGGGAAUGGCAUUCGAAACUGGGCAGCUAGAGUGCGGUAGAGGGUAGUGGAAUUCCCGGUGUAGCAGUGAAAUGCGUAGAGAGCGGGAGGAACAUCUGUGGCGAAGGCGACUGCCUGGACCAGCACUGACACUGAGGCACGAAAGCGUGGGGAGCAAACA